rnacentral:misc_RNA from 1 species
GAUGAAGAACGUAGCGAAAUGCGAUAAGUAAUGCGAAUUGCAGAAUUUCCGUGAGUCAUCGAAUCUUUGAACGCACAUUGCGCCCACUGGUAUUCCGGUGGGCAUGCCUGUUCGAGCGUCAUUAUCCUCCCUCAAACCCCGGGUUUGGUGUUGGACCCAAGUUGUGUGAACAACUGGUCUUAAAGACAAUGACGGCGUCCGUGGGACCCUCGGUGCAACGAGCUUUUAGGAGCACGCAUCGAGUUGCAAGGACCUUCCGGGCCGGUCUCCUUUACUAUUUUACAAGGUUGACCUCGGAUCAGGUAGGAAUACCCGCUGAACUUAAGCAUAUCAACGGAGGA